rnacentral:rRNA from 1 species
AGUGAACGCUGGCGGUAGGCCUAACACAUGCAAGUCGAACGGCAGCACAGUAAGAGCUUGCUCUUACGGGUGGCGAGUGGCGGACGGGUGAGGAAUACAUCGGAAUCUACUUUUUCGUGGGGGAUAACGUAGGGAAACUUACGCUAAUACCGCAUACGACCUACGGGUGAAAGCAGGGGAUUUUCGGACCUUGCGCGAUUGAAUGGGCCGAUGUCGGAUUAGCUAGUUGGCGGGGUAAAGGCCCACCAAGGCGACGGUCCGUAGCUGGUCUGAGAGGAUGAUCAGCCAGACUGGAACUGAGACACGGUCCAGACUCCUACGGGAGGCAGCAGUGGGGAAUAUUGGACAAUGGGCGCAAGCCUGAUCCAGCCAUACCGCGUGAGUGAAGAAGGCCUUCGGGUUGUAAAGCCCUUUUGUUGGGAAAGAAAAGCAGCACGUUAAUACCCCGCUGUUCUGACGGUACCCAAAGAAUAAGCACCGGCUAACUUCGUG